CUAAAGUGACAGAAUGGCAGGAGGAAGAGGAACAGUUCUGAAUUCACCCUCUCAGGGCACAGAUCGGACCGGUGAGGGCUGGAGAGAGGAGGAGUCACAGAGUGUGCAUGGGGCCUUGGUGUCCCAGGUCUAAGUCACGGAGUUGCCCAGGUGGGGCUUGAGUUUGCCGUCCUCCUCCAUCAGCCUUCCCAGAAUCCUGGGAUUAUAGGUGUGCAGUCCAGUGGCAUUAUGUGCAUGGAUAAUGUUGUGCAAGCAUCGCUGCUGUCCAUUUGAAGGAUUUUUAUUUUCCAAACAGAAGUUUUGUGCUCACCAAAUAUGAGCUCUGCAGCUGCUGGUGACUUCUAUUCCAUCUUCUGAAUCUGGGAACCAGUCUAUCCUAGCACAUUUAUCCACGGCUGAGUACCUCAUCCUCACCAUCCAAUCACCUUGUAAAAGCCUCAGCUUUGACUGCACAAGAGUUUGGGGGACACUCUAGAUCUAAACCGUAACAGUGGCCACUUAUGCAAAAUGACCAGCUGGUUAAUGUUCCUUGGCGCCUGUCUCACUCCACUCCCUCAGUGUCUCGAGGUCCGCAGCGUGGUUUGGAGACACCGUGGAGUCCCAGCAAGGAGAAUGAGCUUGCUCAGGACCACAAAGGUUCCAAGCUGUGGGGCAUGAAGUGAGUCAUUAAGGAUUGCUGCAGCCUGUGACAGGAAGUGUUACUGUCCCCAUUUUGCAGAUGAGGAAACUGAGGCUCAGAGAAGUCUGAAGGACUCCUGUCCCUUCCUCCUGGGGUCACAACGGAGUAAUUCCUGCACCUGCCUCCAGGGGGAGCUCUGAGGAGAAAGUGCAGCCAACAGCAGGGCUGAGUUGUGGCUUCUGUACACCAGGGUGGUCACCCUGCCUCCCUGGGCCGCUUUCCAAGCCUUCCAGUGGGCCGCUCCCUCUUCUCCCAGACCCUCCUCGGCCGUCACUCAGCUCCGCCCUCUGCUCCUUCCCGUCGUGGACUAAGCAUAACCAAGCCAUUCUUUGAUGCACUGAGAGCUUCGGGCUCCCCCAGGACAGGAACUAUGUUCACGGGCUUAUUCUGUGUUGCAAACUCCUCUGAACAUUUGACCUGUAUAACGCUUGCAAUUCUGUUAACAGCGCUAUUGUUCCCAUUUUACGGAUGUCCCCGAGAGAGGUAAAGUGUCUCUCUCAGGUACACCCAGCUAGCAGGUGUCCACCUGACCUUUGAAUUUAUAC